rnacentral:rRNA from 1 species
AGUGAACGCUGGCGGUAGGCCUAACACAUGCAAGUCGAACGGCAGCACAGUAAGAGCUUGCUCUUACGGGUGGCGAGUGGCGGACGGGUGAGGAAUACAUCUGAAUCUACUUUUUCGUGGGGGAUAACGUAGGGAAACUUACGCUAAUACCGCAUACGACCUACGGGUGAAAGCAGGGGAUCUUCGGACCUUGCGCGAUUGAAUGAGCCGAUGUCGGAUUAGCUAGUUGGCGGGUUAAAGGCCCACCAAGGCGACGAUCCGUAGGUGGUCUGAGAGGAUGAUCUGCCACACUGGACCAGAGACACGGUGCAGACUCCUGCGGGGUGCAUCAAUGGGGAAUAUUCGACAAUGGGGGCAAGCCUGAGCCAGCAAUACCGCGUGGGUGAAGAAGGCCUUCGUGUUGUAAAGCCCUUUUGUUGGGAAAGAAAAGCAGCAGGUUAAUACCCCGCUGUUCUGACGGUACCCAAAGAAUAAGCACCGGCUAACUUCGUG